rnacentral:rRNA from 1 species
UACGUGAGCCCCAAGCGUUAUCCGGAAUUACUGGGCGUAAAGAGUGCGUAGGCGGUUAUGUUAGUCUUCUGUUUAAUCCUUCGGCUCAACCGAAGAACCGCAGAGGAAACGGCAUAACUGGAGCGUGUGAGAGGUGAGCGGAACUCAUGGUGUAGGGGUGAAAUCCGUUGAUAUCAUGGGGAACACCAAAUGCGAAGGCAGCUCACUGGCACAUUGCUGACGCUGAGGCACGAAAGCGUGGGUAGCGAAUGGG